UGGGGAAUAUUGCACAAUGGAGGGAACUCUGAUGCAGCGACGCCGCGUGAGCGAAGAAGGUUUUCGAAUCGUAAAGCUCUGUCCUAUGAGAAGAUAAUGACGGUAUCAUAGGAGGAAGCCCCGGCUAAAUACGUGCCAGCAGCCGCGGUAAUACGUAUGGGGCGAGCGUUGUCCGGAAUUAUUGGGCGUAAAGGGUACGUAGGCGGUCUAUUAAGUCAGGUGUGAAAGCGUGAGGCUUAACCUCAUUAAGCACUUGAAACUGAUAGACUUGAGUGAAGGAGAGGAAAGUGGAAUUCCUAGUGUAGCGGUGAAAUGCGUAGAUAUUAGGAGGAAUACCGGUGGCGAAGGCGACUUUCUGGACUUUUACUGACGCUCAGGUACGAAAGCGUGGGGAGCAAACAGG
rnacentral:rRNA from 1 species